rnacentral:rRNA from 1 species
UACGAAGGGUGCAAGCGUUACUCGGAAUUACUGGGCGUAAAGGGUGCGUAGGUGGUUUGUUAAGUCUGCUGUGAAAUCCCCGGGCUCAACCUGGGAAUGGCAGUGGAUACUGGCAAGCUAGAGUGCGGUAGAGGGUAGUGGAAUUCCCGGUGUAGCAGUGAAAUGCGUAGAUAUCGGGAGGAACACCGGUGGCGAAGGCGGCGAUCUGGGUCGAUACUGACGCUGAGGUGCGAAAGCGUGGGGAGCAAACAGG